GACGAACGCUGGCGGCGUGCUUAACACAUGCAAGUCGAACGGAAAGGCCCUGCUUUUGUGGGGUGCUCGAGUGGCGAACGGGUGAGUAACACGUGAGUAACCUGCCCUUGACUUUGGGAUAACUUCAGGAAACUGGGGCUAAUACCGGAUAGGAGCUCCUGCUGCAUGGUGGGGGUUGGAAAGUUUCGGCGGUUGGGGAUGGACUCGCGGCUUAUCAGCUUGUUGGUGGGGUAGUGGCUUACCAAGGCUUUGACGGGUAGCCGGCCUGAGAGGGUGACCGGCCACAUUGGGACUGAGAUACGGCCCAGACUCCUACGGGAGGCAGCAGUGGGGAAUAUUGCACAAUGGGCGGAAGCCUGAUGCAGCAACGCCGCGUGCGGGAUGACGGCCUUCGGGUUGUAAACCGCUUUCGCCUGUGACGAAGCGUGAGUGACGGUAAUGGGUAAAGAAGCACCGGCUAACUACGUGCCAGCAGCCGCGGUGAUACGUAGGGUGCGAGCGUUGUCCGGAUUUAUUGGGCGUAAAGGGCUCGUAGGUGGUUGAUCGCGUCGGAAGUGUAAUCUUGGGGCUUAACCCUGAGCGUGCUUUCGAUACGGGUUGACUUGAGGAAGGUAGGGGAGAAUGGAAUUCCUGGUGGAGCGGUGGAAUGCGCAGAUAUCAGGAGGAACACCAGUGGCGAAGGCGGUUCUCUGGGCCUUUCCUGACGCUGAGGAGCGAAAGCGUGGGGAGCGAACAGGCUUAGAUACCCUGGUAGUCCACGCUGUAAACGGUGGGUACUAGGUGUGGGGUCCAUUCCACGGGUUCCGUGCCGUAGUUAACGCUUUAAGUACCCCGCCUGGGGAGUACGGCCGCAAGGCUAAAACUCAAAGGAAUUGACGGGGCCCCGCACAAGCGGCGGAGCAUGCGGAUUAAUUCGAUGCAACGCGUAGAACCUUACCUGGGUUUGACAUGGAUCGGGAGUGCUCAGAGAUGGGUGUGCCUCUUUUGGGGUCGGUUCACAGGUGGUGCAUGCCUGUCGUCAGCUCGUGUCGUGAGAUGUUGGGUUAAGUCCCGCAACGAGCGCAACCCUUGUUCACUGUUGCCAGCACGUUAUGGUGGGGACUCAGUGGAGACCGCCGGGGUCAACUCGGAGGAAGGUGGGGAUGACGUCAAGUCAUCAUGCCCCUUAUGUCCAGGGCUUCACGCAUGCUACAAUGGCUGGUACAGAGAGUGGCGAGCCUGUGAGGGUGAGCGAAUCUCGGAAAGCCGGUCUCAGUUCGGAUUGGGGUCUGCAACUCGACCUCAUGAAGUCGGAGUCGCUAGUAAUCGCAGAUCAGCAACGCUGCGGUGAAUACGUUCCCGGGGCU
rnacentral:rRNA from 1 species